rnacentral:rRNA from 1 species
AUUGAACGCUGGCGGCAGGCCUAACACAUGCAAGUCGAGCGGAUGAAGGGAGCUUGCUCCUGGAUUCAGCGGCGGACGGGUGAGUAAUGCCUAGGAAUCUGCCUGGUAGUGGGGGAUAACGUCCGGAAACGGGCGCUAAUACCGCAUACGUCCUGAGGGAGAAAGUGGGGGAUCUUCGGACCUCACGCUAUCAGAUGAGCCUAGGUCGGAUUAGCUAGUUGGUGGGGUAAAGGCCUACCAAGGCGACGAUCCGUAACUGGUCUGAGAGGACGAUCAGUCACACUGGAACUGAGACACGGUCCAGACUCCUACGGGAGGCAGCAGUGGGGAAUAUUGGACAAUGGGCGAAAGCCUAAUCCAGCCAUGCCGCGUGUGUGAAGAAGGUCUUCGGAUUGUAAAGCACUUUAAGUUGGGAGGAAGGGCAGUAAGUUAAUACCUUGCUGUUUUGACGUUACCAACAGAAUAAGCACCGGCUAACUUCGUG